GAUGAACGCUGGCGGCGUGCCUAAUACAUGCAAGUCGAGCGAACGGACGAGAAGCUUGCUUCUCUGAUGUUAGCGGCGGACGGGUGAGUAACACGUGGAUAACCUACCUAUAAGACUGGGAUAACUUCGGGAAACCGGAGCUAAUACCAGAUAAUAUUUUGAACCGCAUGGUUCAAAAGUGAAAGACGGUCUUGCUGUCACUUAUAGAUGGAUCCGCGCUGCAUUAGCUAGUUGGUAAGGUAACGGCUUACCAAGGCAACGAUGCAUAGCCGACCUGAGAGGGUGAUCGGCCACACUGGAACUGAGACACGGUCCAGACUCCUACGGGAGGCAGCAGUAGGGAAUCUUCCGCAAUGGGCGAAAGCCUGACGGAGCAACGCGGCGUGAGUGAUGAAGGUCUUCGGAUCGUAAAACUCUGUUAUUAGGGAAGAACAUAUGUGUAAGUAACUGUGCACAUCUUGACGGUACCUAAUCAGGAAGCCACGGCUAACUACGUG
rnacentral:rRNA from 1 species